rfam:Plasmodium gonderi DNA, contig: Chr09.
UCAUGAAUGAUGACAACGAUUCUCAAAUGUUCGCAGUUGAGAGUUCAGUAGAAUCAAAGCAACUCGAUGAAUUACCUUUGUAGCCUUCACUUAGAUGUCUGACAUAAAAA